rnacentral:pre_miRNA from 1 species
ACUUUGGCAGUGGAUAGACAGAUAAUUGCAAUUAACUUCACUGAGAUCCACCUGAUCUCAGUGAAGUUAAUUGCAAUUAUCUGUCUAUCCACUGCCAAAGU